AACGAACGCUGGCGGCAUGCCUAACACAUGCAAGUCGAACGAGACCUUCGGGUCUAGUGGCGCACGGGUGCGUAACGCGUGGGAACCUGCCUUUAGGUUCGGAAUAACUCAGAGAAAUUUGAGCUAAUACCGGAUGAUGUCUUCGGACCAAAGAUUUAUCGCCUUUAGAUGGGCCCGCGUUGGAUUAGCUAGUUGGUGGGGUAAAGGCCUACCAAGGCGACGAUCCAUAGCUGGUCUGAGAGGAUGAUCAGCCACACUGGGACUGAGACACGGCCCAGACUCCUACGGGAGGCAGCAGUGGGGAAUAUUGGACAAUGGGCGAAAGCCUGAUCCAGCAAUGCCGCGUGAGGGAUGAAGGCCUUAGGGUUGUAAAGCUCUUUUACCCGAGAUGAUAAUGACAGUAUCGGGAGAAUAAGCUCCGGCUAACUCCGUG
rnacentral:rRNA from 1 species